GCUGAAAUAGCUCAGUUGGAAGAGUGUUAGAUUGACGAUCUAAAUGCCCCUGGUUCAAUCUCAGAUUUCGGCA